rnacentral:other from 1 species
UAUCUCCUGCAGCGUUCGAGGGUGUGCCGGGUGUUUCCUGAACCUGUUUUACCCCCGGGGGCUGUUAUCCGUUUUGGUGCGCAUGCCCGUCUUGUACGGGAAGCCUGAUUAACGGUCAUGUCCCCACUUGAACCGCCGGUUCAAGGACGAAGGCAUGCUACGGCGCAGGCGGGAGAUAC